rnacentral:rRNA from 1 species
UGAGGAAUAUUGGACAAUGGUCGGAAGACUGAUCCAGCCAUGCCGCGUGCAGGAUGAAGGUCCUAUGGAUUGUAAACUGCUUUUGUAAGGGAAGAAUAAGGAGUACGUGUACUUUGAUGACGGUACCUUACGAAUAAGCAUCGGCUAACUCCGUGCCAGCAGCCGCGGUAAUACGGAGGAUGCGAGCGUUAUCCGGAAUCAUUGGGUUUAAAGGGUCCGUAGGCGGGCUGAUAAGUCAGAGGUGAAAGCGCUUAGCUCAACUAAGCAACUGCCUUUGAAACUGUCAGUCUUGAAUGAUUGUGAAGUAGUUGGAAUGUGUAGUGUAGCGGUGAAAUGCUUAGAUAUUACACAGAACACCGAUAGCGAAGGCAUAUUACUAACAAUUUAUUGACGCUGAUGGACGAAAGCGUGGGGAGCGAACAGGAUUAGAUACCCUGGUAGUCCACGCUGUAAACGAUGGAUACUAGCUGUUUGGAGCAAUCUGAGUGGCUAAGCGAAAGUGAUAAGUAUCCCACCUGGGGGAGUACGCACGCAAGUGU